AAACUCAAAGGAAUUGACGGGGACCCGCACAAGCGGUGGAGCAUGUGGUUUAAUUCGAAGCAACGCGAAGAACCUUACCAAAUCUUGACAUCCUUUGACCGCUCUAGAGAUAGAGUUUUCCCCUUCGGGGGACAAAGUGACAGGUGGUGCAUGGUUGUCGUCAGCUCGUGUCGUGAGAUGUUGGGUUAAGUCCCGCAACGAGCGCAACCCUUAAGCUUAGUUGCCAUCAUUAAGUUGGGCACUCUAAGUUGACUGCCGGUGACAAACCGGAGGAAGGUGGGGAUGACGUCAAAUCAUCAUGCCCCUUAUGAUUUGGGCUACACACGUGCUACAAUGGACAAUACAAAGGGCAGCUAAACCGCGAGGUCAAGCAAAUCCCAUAAAGUUGUUCUCAGUUCGGAUUGUAGUCUGCAACUCGACUACAUGAAGCUGGAAUCGCUAGUAAUCGUAGAUCAGCAUGCUACGGUGAAUACGUUCCCGGGUCUUGUACACACCGCCCGUCACACCACGAGAGUUUGUAACACCCGAAGCCGGUGGAGUAACCAUUUAUGGAGCUAGCCGUCGAAGGGGA
rnacentral:rRNA from 1 species